UACGUAGGCAGCGAGCGUUGUUCGGAGUUACUGGGCGUAAAGAGUGCGUAGGUGGUGCCCUAAGUCUGUUGUGAAAUCUCCCGGCUUAACUGGGAGGGUGCGGUGGAAACUGGGGUGCUUGAGUGUGGGAGAGGUAAGCGGAAUUCCUGGUGUAGCGGUGAAAUGCGUAGAUAUCAGGAGGAACACCGGUGGUGUAGACGGCUUACUGGACCACGACUGACACUGAGGCACGAAAGCGUGGGUAGCAAAACAGG
rnacentral:rRNA from 1 species